UACGGAGGAUGCGAGCGUUAUCCGGAUUUAUUGGGUUUAAAGGGUGCGUAGGCGGAACAUUAAGUCAGCGGUAAAAUCGAGGGGCUCAACCCCUUUAAGCCGUUGAAACUGGUGAUCUUGAGUGGGCGAGAAGUAUUCGGAAUGCGUGGUGUAGCGGUGAAAUGCAUAGAUAUCACGCAGAACUCCGAUUGCGAAGGCAGCAUACCGGCGCCCGACUGACGCUGAGGCACGAAAGCGUGGGGAUCGAACAGG
rnacentral:rRNA from 1 species